rnacentral:rRNA from 1 species
UACGUAGGUGGCGAGCGUUGUCCGGAUUUACUGGGCGUAAAGAGCGCGCAGGCGGUCGUACAAGUCGCGUGUGAAAGCCCCCGGCUCAACUGGGGAGGGUCACGCGAUACUGUUCGACUCGAAGGCAGGAGAGGGUAGUGGAAUUCCCGGUGUAGUGGUGAAAUGCGUAGAUAUCGGGAGGAACACCAGUGGCGAAGGCGACUACCUGGCCUGUUCUUGACGCUGAGGCGCGAAGGCUAGGGUAGCAAACGGG